GCUGCGGACUUCCGUUGGCUUUAUUGACCGUGAGGGUUCAAGUCCCUCUACCCCCA
rnacentral:tRNA from 1 species